CCUACGGGAGGCAGCAGUGGGGAAUAUUGCACAAUGGGCGAAAGCCUGAUGCAGCGACGCCGCGUGAGGGAUGACGGCCUUCGGGUUGUAAACCUCUUUCAGUAGGGAAGAAGCGUAAGUGACGGUACCUGCAGAAGAAGCGCCGGCUAACUACGUGCCAGCAGCCGCGGUAAUACGUAGGGCGCAAGCGUUAUCCGGAAUUAUUGGGCGUAAAGAGCUCGUAGGCGGUUUGUCGCGUCUGCCGUGAAAGUCCGGGGCUCAACUCCGGAUCUGCGGUGGGUACGGGCAGACUAGAGUGAUGUAGGGGAGACUGGAAUUCCUGGUGUAGCGGUGAAAUGCGCAGAUAUCAGGAGGAACACCGAUGGCGAAGGCAGGUCUCUGGGCAUUAACUGACGCUGAGGAGCGAAAGCAUGGGGAGCGAACAGGAUUAGAUACCCUGGUAGUCCAUGCCGUAAACGUUGGGCACUAGGUGUGGGGGACAUUCCACGUUUUCCGCGCCGUAGCUAACGCAUUAAGUGCCCCGCCUGGGGNGGUACGGCCGCGAGACGAACUACAAGAAGUAGACGCGNGAGACGUGCCGACGGACGACGACGAGGGAGGAGG
rnacentral:rRNA from 1 species